AUGCGAGAGUGUCCCCAGAACAACAACCCCAACCCGUCUGGAAUGGCCGUUGGCUGUGGCAAGCCAACAGGGAAGGUGUAUUACGCCAAACUAGUCACCUCUGCACAUGGCCAUGUGAACUGUGUCUCAGCUGAAGAGGCUCAGGAUGAUCCUAACGUCGUUCUUCGUACGCUCCUUGUUAAUUGCCAUCCAGCAUCUCUUCUUUUUGAUACUGGAGCAUCUCAUUCAUUUAUAUCUGAGAGCUAUGCUUGUUUGCACAAUGCCGCAUUUUGUGAUAUGCCCUCCACCAUAGAAAUUUCUACUCCUGGUUCUAGAUGGCAAACUUCUAGAGUAAGCCAUGGGAAUGAAAUUCAUGUCGAUAGACUUGUUUUCCUUGCAUCUUUGAUAGCUCUCAAAUCCUCGGACAUUAAUAUCAUCUUGGGUAUGGACUGGAUGAUAGCCCAUCAUGCUAAGAUUGAUUACUACUCUAGGACUGUUCAACUUGCACAUCCAUCGGGCAAGGUAGUCAAUGUCUUGACCCGAGUGUCUGAGCGUCAGCUCUUCUCUCUUAAUGCCAGGCAUUUUCCAGAUCUCGAAGAAAUCCCGGUAGUCCAUGACUUUCCGGAUGUCUUUUUAGAGGAACUGCCAGGUGUUCCACCUGACAGGGGUAUCGAGUUCGUGAUAGAUCUUGUCCCGGGAACCGUCCAAAUCUCUAGGAGACCUUAUAAGAUGGCACCACUAGAACUAGCUGAACUCAAGAAUCAACUCGAUGAGUCCUUGAAAAAGGGUUUCAUUCGUCCUAGUUCUUCUCCACGGGCUUGCCCCAUCCUCUUCGUCAAGAAGAAGGAUGGUACGGAUCAGAUGGUUGUAGAUUAUCGACCCGUCAAUUUGGUCAUCAUAAAGAACAAGUAUCCGCUCCCCAGGAUCAAUGACCUGUAUGACCAGCUCGUUGGAUCCUUAGUCUUUUCUAAGAUGGAUUUGAGGUUGGGCUACCAUCAAAUCAAAAUCAAGAACGGGGACAUUCCCAAAACGGCCUUUGUUACUCGUUAUGGCCAAUACGGGUACACCGUCAUGUCCUUUAGUUUAACGAAUGCCCCAUCCACCUUCUCUCAGUUAAUGAACUCGAUCUUCAUGGAGUACUUGGAUAAAUUCGCCGUGGUAUACCUCAAUGAUAUACUCAUCUAUUCCAAAAAUGAGGAAGAACAUGCCGAGCAUCUAAGGCUAGUAUUGAUGAAACUUCGAGAGCAUCGCCUUUAUGCCAAAUUCUCUAAAUGUGAAUUCUGGUUGCCAGAAGUGACCUACCUAGGCCAUGUAAUCUCUGGUAAGGGUAUUGUUGUCAAUCUCGAGCGAGUUCAAGCCGUUCUUAAUUGGACUCCACCUGAAUCGGUCAAGCAAGUUUGGAGUUUCCUUGGCUUAGUGAGCUACUACCGCCGCUUUGUCGAGAAUUUCUCCAAGGUUGCUAAACCUCUAACUGAACUUCUCAAGAAAGAUAAAAAGUUUGAGUGGACCCCGCAGUGCGAGUACAGUUUUCAGGAACUGCAAAGACGCCUGACAUCUGCUCCCGUACUGGUACCACCAGAUUUCUCCAAGGACUAUGUUAUCUAUUGCAACACCUCGCGACAAGGACUAGGUUGCAUACUCAUCCAAGAUCGUCAUGUAAUUGCCUAUGCUUCACGGCAGUUGCAUCCACAUGAGGUAAAUUAUCCUACACAUGAUUUAGUGCUUGCAGCUGUAGUCCACGCGCUCAAAACCUGGCAACAUUACCUCCUCGGUAAUCGUUGUGAAAUCAUCACCGAUCACCAAAGUCUGAAAUACAUAUUCACCCAACCAGAUUUGAAUCUCAGGCAAAGACGUUGGGUCGAGUGGAUCACAUAUUACGUCUUUGGGAUAACUUACACCUUGGGAAAAGCCAAUGUCAUGGCUUAUACACUAAGUCGUAAAUCUUAUUGUAACAACUUGAUGUUACACCAAAGUCAACCACUUCUCCAUGAGAAAUUUCGGAAGCUUAACCUUCAUAUCAUUCCUCAAGGAUUCCUUUCUACCUUGGUGGCGAAACCUACCCUUAUGGAUCAUAUCAUAACCGCUCAGCGGUAUGACAAGGGGAUAUCUCGGAUCAAGGAGAACAUUGCUAGCGGAGUUGCUAAAUGUUUCACUGUGAAUGAUCAAGGUGUUGUCUUCUUCGAGAACCGUUUAGUGGUUCCCAUGAAACGACAACUACAUCAAUUGAUCCUUAAGGAAGCUCAUGAAUCUCCUCGCACAAUUCAUCCUGAUAGUACUAAAAUGUAUCAGGACAUACGCCAGAGGUUCUGGUGGACUAGGAUGAAGAGAGAAAUUGCUGAGUAUAUUGCUAAUUGCGACGUCUAUUAUUGUGUUAAACCAGAGCAUCAACGGCCUGCUGGCACCCUUCAACCUUUAGCUAUUAUUGAAUGGAAAUGGGAUAAGAUUGGUAUGGAUUUCAUCACCGGUUUUCCCAGGACCAAGAGAGGGAAUAAUGCUAUCUUUCUCGUCAAAGGACACAUGCCGGCCAGCCUAAGUGUUCCGGACCAAUAG
rnacentral:rRNA from 1 species